rnacentral:rRNA from 2 species
AUUGCCCCAGUAACGGCGAGUGAAGCGGCAACAGCUCAAAUUUGAAAUCUGGCCCCUAGGGCCCGAGUUGUAAUUUGCAGAGGAUGCUUUUGGCGAGGCGCCUUCCGAGUUCCCUGGAACGGGACGCCAUAGAGGGUGAGAGCCCCGUCUGGUCGGACGCCGAGCCUCUGUAAAGCUCCUUCGACGAGUCGAGUAGUUUGGGAAUGCUGCUCUAAAUGGGAGGUAUAUGUCUUCUAAAGCUAAAUACCGGCCAGAGACCGAUAGCGCACAAGUAGAGUGAUCGAAAGAUGAAAAGCACUUUGAAAAGAGGGUUAAACAGUACGUGAAAUUGUUGAAAGGGAAGCGCUCAUGACCAGACUUGGACCCGGUGAAUCAUCCAGCGUUCUCGCUGGUGCACUUUGCCGGGCCCAGGCCAGCAUCAGUUUGCCCCGGGGGAUAAAGGCUUUGGGAAUGUGGCUCCCUCGGGAGUGUUAUAGCCCAUUGCACAAUACCCUGGGGCGGACUGAGGUUCGCGCAUCUGCAAGGAUGCUGGCGUAAUGGUCAUCAGCGACCCGUCUUGAAACACGGACCAAGGAGUCGUCUUCGUAUGCGAGUGUUCGGGUGUAAAACCCCUACGCGUAAUGAAAGUGAACGCAGGUGAGAGCUUCGGCGCAUCAUCGACCGAUCCUGAUGUUCUCGGAUGGAUUUGAGUAAGAGCAUACGGGGCCGGACCCGAAAGAAGGUGAACUAUGCCUGUAUAGGGUGAAGCCAGAGGAAACUCUGGUGGAGGCUCGCAGCGGUUCUGACGUGCAAAUCGAUCGUCAAAUAUGGGCAUGGGGGCGAAAGACUAAUCGAACC